AGGAUGCGAGCGUUAUCCGGAUUUAUUGGGUUUAAAGGGUGCGCAGGCGGCCUGUUAAGUCAGCGGUAAAAGCCCGGGGCUCAACCCCGGCGAGCCGUUGAAACUGGCGGGCUGGAGUUGGAGAGAAGUACGCGGAAUGCGCGGUGUAGCGGUGAAAUGCUUAGAUAUCGCGCAGAACCCCGAUUGCGAAGGCAGCGUACCGGCUCCACACUGACGCUGAGGCACGAAAGCGUGGGUAUCGAACAGGA
rnacentral:rRNA from 1 species